rnacentral:tRNA from 3 species
GCCGGCAUAGCUCAGCGGUAGAGCAACGGUUUUGUAAACCGUCGGUCCUCGGUUCGAUCCCGAGUGCCGGCU